CAAACAGGAUAGAUACCUGGUAGUCCACACGGUAAACGAUGAAUACUGGCUGUUUGCGAUAUACAGCAGCGGCCAAGCGAAAAGCGUUAAGUAUUCCACCUGGGGAGUACGCCGGGCAACGGUGAAACUCAAAAGGAAUUGACGGGGGCCCGCACAAGCGGAGGAACAUGUGGUUUAAUUCGAUGAUACGCGAGGAACCUUACCCGGGCUUAAAUUGCAGAUGAAUUACGGUGAAAGCCGUAAGCCGCAAGGCAUCUGUGAAGGUGCUGCAUGGUUGUCGUCAGCUCGUGCCGUGAGGUGUCGGCUUAAGUGCCAUAACGAGCGCAACCCUUGUUGUCAGUUACUAACAGGUUCCGCUGAGGACUCUGACAAGACUGCCAUCGUAAGAUGUGAGGAAGGUGGGGAUGACGUCAAAUCAGCACGGCCCUUACGUCCGGGGCUACACACGUGUUACAAUGGGGGGUACAGAGGGCCGCUACCACGCGAGUGGAUGCCAAUCCCAAAAACCUCUCUCAGUUCGGACUGGAGUCUGCAACCCGACUCCACGAAGCUGGAUUCGCUAGUAAUCGCGCAUCAGCCACGGCGCGGUGAAUACGUUCCCGGGCCUUGUACACACCGCCCGUCAAGCCAUGGGAGCCGGGGGUACCUGAAGUGCGUAACCGCGAGGAGCGCCCUAGGGUAAAACUGGUGACUGGGGCUAAGUCGUAACAAGGU
rnacentral:rRNA from 1 species